rnacentral:rRNA from 1 species
UGGGGGAUAUUGCACAAUGGGCGAAAGCCUGAUGCAGCGACGCCGCGUGGGGGAUGAAGGCUUUCGGGUUGUAAACCUCUUUCGCUAUCGAACAAGGCCCGCUUAGGGUGGGUUGAGGGUAGGUGGAGAAGAAGCGCCGGCUAACUACGUGCCAGCAGCCGCGGUAAUACGUAGGGCGCGAGCGUUGUCCGGAAUUAUUGGGCGUAAAGGGCUUGUAGGCGGCUUGUUGCGCCUGCUGUGAAAACGCGGGGCUUAACUUCGCGCGUGCAGUGGGUACGGGCAGGCUUGAGUGUGGUAGGGGUGACUGGAAUUCCAGGUGUAGCGGUGGAAUGCGCAGAUAUCUGGAGGAACACCGAUGGCGAAGGCAGGUCACUGGGCCAUUACUGACGCUGAGGAGCGAAAGCAUGGGUAGCGAAGAGG